AUUGAACGCUGGCGGCAUGCUUUACACAUGCAAGUCGAACGGCAGCACGGUCUUCGGCCUGGUGGCGAGUGGCGAACGGGUGAGUAAUAUAUCGGUACGUACCCAGAUGUGGGGGAUAACGUAGCGAAAGUUACGCUAAUACCGCAUACGCUCUAUGGAUGAAAGCAGGGGACCGCAAGGCCUUGUGCUCCUGGAGCGGCCGAUAUCUGAUUAGCUAGUUGGUGAGGUAAAGGCUCACCAAGGCGACGAUCAGUAGCUGGUCUGAGAGGACGACCAGCCACACUGGAACUGAGACACGGUCCAGACUCCUACGGGAGGCAGCAGUGGGGAAUAUUGGACAAUGGGCGCAAGCCUGAUCCAGCAAUGCCGCGUGAGUGAAGAAGGCCUUCGGGUUGUAAAGCUCUUUUGUCAGGGAAGAAACGGUAGAGGCUAAUAUCCUUUGCUAAUGACGGUACCUGAAGAAUAAGCACCGGCUAACUACGUG
rnacentral:rRNA from 1 species